rnacentral:rRNA from 1 species
GAUGAACGCUGGCGGCGUGCUAAUACAUGCAAGUCGAGCGAACAGACGAGGAGCUUGCUCCUUUGACGUUAGCGGCGGACGGGUGAGUAACACGUAGGUAACCUACCUAUAAGACUGGGAUAACUUCGGGAAACCGGAGCUAAUACCGGAUAAUAUUUCGAACCGCAUGGUUCGAUAGUGAAAGAUGGCUUUGCUAUCACUUAUAGAUGGACCUGCGCCGUAUUAGCUAGUUGGUAAGGUAACGGCUUACCAAGGCAACGAUACGUAGCCGACCUGAGAGGGUGAUCGGCCACACUGGAACUGAGACACGGUCCAGACUCCUACGGGAGGCAGCAGUAGGGAAUCUUCCGCAAUGGGCGAAAGCCUGACGGAGCAACGCCGCGUGAGUGAUGAAGGUCUUCGGAUCGUAAAACUCUGUUAUUAGGGAAGAACAAACGUGUAAGUAACUGUGCACGUCUGACGGUACCUAAUCAGAAAGCCACG